rnacentral:tRNA from 1 species
GGCGGGGUGGCAGAGUGUUUAUGCGACAGGGUGUGCAAGCCCCGUACAGGCCGGUUAAAAUCCGCGCCCCCGCCUCCA